GAUGAACGCUGGCGGCGUGCUUAACACAUGCAAGUCGAACGAUGAAGCCCAGCUUGCUGGGUGGAUUAGUGGCGAACGGGUGAGUAACACGUGAGUAACCUGCCCUUACCUCUGGGAUAAGCCUGGGAAACUGGGUCUAAUACCGGAUAGGGGCGUCCCCCACAUGGUGGGGGUUGGAAAGAUUUAUCGGUGUUGGAUGGACUCGCGGCCUAUCAGCUUGUUGGGGAGGUAAUGGCUCACCAAGGCGACGACGGGUAGCCGGCCUGAGAGGGUGACCGGCCACACUGGGACUGAGACACGGCCCAGACUCCUACGGGAGGCAGCAGUGGGGAAUAUUGCACAAUGGGCGCAAGCCUGAUGCAGCGACGCCGCGUGAGGGAUGACGGCCUUCGGGUUGUAAACCUCUUUCAGUAGGGAAGAAGCGAAAGUGACGGUACCUGCAGAAGAAGCACCGGCUAACUACGUG
rnacentral:rRNA from 1 species